CAGCUUGCUGAACACACGACCGGCGCACGGGUGAGUAACGCGUCUGCAAUUUACCUCUAACUGGAAGAUAGCCCGAAGAAAUUCGGAUUAAUACUCCAUAAUAUUAGGAAUUCGCAUGAUUUCCUAAUUAAAGCUCCGGCGGUUAGAGAUGAGCAUGCGUGUCAUUAGCUAGUUGGUAAGGUAACGGCUUACCAAGGCGACGAUGACUAGGGGGUCUGAGAGGAUGGUCCCCCACACUGGUACUGAGACACGGACCAGACUCCUACGGGAGGCAGCAGUGAGGAAUAUUGGGCAAUGGGCGCAAGCCUGACCCAGCCAUGCCGCGUGCAGGAUGACUGCCCUAUGGGUUGUAAACUGCUUUUAUACGGGAAGAAUGGUUCCUACGUGUAGGGAUUUGACGGUACCGUAAGAAUAAGCAUCGGAUAACUCCGUGCCAGCAGCCGCGGUAAUACGGAGGAUGCAAGCGUUAUCCGGAUUCAUUGGGUUUAAGGGGUGCGCAGGCGGAAUAUUAAGUCAGUGGUGAAAUCCUGCAGCUUAACUGUAGAACUGCCAUUGAUACUGAUAUUCUUGAAUAUAGUUGAGGUGGGCGGAAUGUGUAAUGUAGCGGUGAAAUGCUUAGAUAUUACACAGAACACCGAUUGCGAAGGCAGCUCACUAAACUAAUAUUGACGCUGAGGCACGAAAGCGUGGGGAGCGAACAGGAUUAGAUACCCUGGUAGUCCACGCUGUUAACGAUGAUCACUCGCUGUU
rnacentral:rRNA from 1 species